AUUGAACGCUGGCGGCAUGCCUUACACAUGCGAGUCGAACGGCAGCACGGGUGCUUGCACCUGGUGGCGAGUGGCGAACGGGUGAGUAAUACAUCGGAACAUGUCCUGUAGUGGGGGAUAGCCCGGCGAAAGCCGGAUUAAUACCGCAUACGAUCUACGGAUGAAAGCGGGGGACCUUCGGGCCUCGCGCUAUAGGGUUGGCCGAUGGCUGAUUAGCUAGUUGGUAGGGUAAAGGCCUACCAAGGCGACGAUCAGCAGCUGGUCUGAGAGGACGACCAGCCACACUGGGACUGAGACACGGCCCAGACUCCUACGGGAGGCAGCAGUGGGGAAUUUUGGACAAUGGGCGAAAGCCUGAUCCAGCAAUGCCGCGUGUGUGAAGAAGGCCUUCGGGUUGUAAAGCACUUUUGUCCGGAAAGAAAUCCUUGGCCCUAAUACGGUCGGGGGAUGACGGUACCGGAAGAAUAAGCACCGGCUAACUACGUG
rnacentral:rRNA from 1 species